rnacentral:rRNA from 1 species
GCGGUAAUUCCAGCUCCAAUAGCGUAUAUUAAAGUUGUUGCAGUUAAAAAGCUCGUAGUUGAACUUUGGGUCUGGGUGACCGGUCCCCCGACUGGGUGUGCACUGGAAACCCGGAUCUUUCCUUCUGGAGAACCUCAUGCCCUUCACUGGGUGUGUUGGGGAACUAGGACUUUUACUUUGAAAAAAUUAGAGUGUUCAAAGCAGGCUUUUGCUCGAAUACAUUAGCAUGGAAUAAUAAAAUAGGACGUGCGGUUCUAUUUUGUUGGUUUCUAGGACCGCCGUAAUGAUUAAUAGGGAUAGUCGGGGGCAUCCGUAUUCGAUUGUCAGAGGUGAAAUUCUUGGAUUUUUCGAAGACGAACUACUGCGAAAGCAUUUGCCAAGGAUGUUUUCAUUAAUCAGGAACGAAAGUUGAGGGAUCGAAGACGAUCAGAUACCGUCGUAGUCUCAACCAUAAACUAUGCCGACUAGGAAUCGGGCGAUGUUUUCAAUUUGACUCGCUCGGCACCUUACGAGAAAUCAAAGUUUUUGGGUUCUGGGGGGAGUAUGGUCGCAAGGCUGAAACUUAAAGGAAUUGAC